GAUGAACGCUGGCGGCGUGCCUAAUACAUGCAAGUCGAGCGAACGGACGAGAAGCUUGCUUCUCUGAUGUUAGCGGCGGACGGGUGAGUAACACGUGGAUAACCUACCUAUAAGACUGGGAUAACUUCGGGAAACCGGAGCUAAUACCGGAUGAUAUUUUGAACCGCAUGGUUCAAAAGUGAAAGACGGUCUUGCUGUCACUUAUAGAUGGAUCCGCGCUGCAUUAGCUAGUUGGUAAGGUAACGGCUUACCAAGGCAACGAUGCAUAGCCGACCUGAGAGGGUGAUCGGCCACACUGGAACUGAGACACGGUCCAGACUCCUACGGGAGGCAGCAGUAGGGAAUCUUCCGCAAUGGGCGAAAGCCUGACGGAGCAACGCCGAGUGAGUGAUGAAGGUCUUCGGAUCGUAAAACUCUGUUAUUAGGGAAGAACAUAUGUGUAAGUAACUGUGCACAUCUUGACGGUACCUAAUCAGAAAGCCACGGCUAACUACGU
rnacentral:rRNA from 1 species